GUAUCACUUCUGUUCUUGAUAGCGUCAUAGUUCUUGUUUUAGAUCUUGGGCUGGUGGAAGGAUAUGAUUCUCCGAAGAGGCUACUCGACAACAAGUCGUCAUCCUUUGCGCAGCUGGUGGCGGAAUACACAAUGAGGCCAAAUUCCAACAAUUUGAAUUAACUAGAACGCGGUAUGAUCGCAUUGGAAUAGUUCCCCUUAUGAUGAUGAAACGUGUGACUGGCCUUCUAUGUGUCGGGUCAUGUUCUUGUUGUAUUAUAGGCAAGUUAAGCAAAGUCAUUCUGGAUCGGUUCCCGUAGUUUAUGAGGCCACUGUGAUAGAACAGGCAUAAACUCAAGCCUGAGGAAGGGUUUGUAGGUUGAACUAUUGCCAAAUCACAUCCUUGGAAUGAUUUACUCAAAUUG